CAAUAGCGUAUAUUUAAGUUGUUGCAGUUAAAAGCUCGUAGUUGGAUUUCGGGUGAAGAUGACCGGUCUGCCGAUGCGGUACGCACUGGACGUUUUCAUCUUGUUGUCGGGGACGCGCUUCUGGGCUUUAUUGUUCGGGACGCGGAGUCGGCGCUGUUACUUUGAAAAAUUAGAGUGUUCAAAGCAGGCAAUCGCUCUGAAUACAUUAGCAUGGAAUAACGCUAUAGGACUCUGGUCCUAUUGUGUUGGUCUUCGGGACCGGAGUAAUGAUUAAGAGGGACAGUUGGGGCAGUUCGUAUUCAUUGUUCAGAGGUGGAAAUUUCUUGGAAUUUUAUGAAAGUGAUCGAAACUUCUGCUGAAAGCAAUUUGCCAAUGGAUGUUUUCUAUUAAUCAAGAACGAAAGUUGGGGCUCGAAGACGAUCAGAUACC
rnacentral:rRNA from 1 species